CAAUAGCGUAUAUUAAAGUUGUUGCAGUUAAAAAGCUCGUAGUUGGAUUUCUGGUGGGAGCGAUCGGUCUGGCGCUUAGCGCGAGUACUUGCAUCGUCUCCGGCCAUCCUUGGGGAGAGUCUGUCUGGCAUUAGGUUGUCGGGCAGAGGAUCCUCAUCGUUUACUGUGAAAAAAUUAGAGUGUUCAAAGCAGGCUUAUGCCGUUGAAUAUAUUAGCCUGGAAUAAUAAGAUAGGACUUUGGUACUAUUUUGUUGGUUUGCGCACCAAAGUAAUGAUUAAUAGGGACAGUUGGGGGUAUUCGUAUUCCGUUGUCAGAGGUGAAAUUCUUGGAUUUACGGAAGACGAACUACUGCGAAAGCAUUUACCAAGGAUGUUUUCAUUAA
rnacentral:rRNA from 1 species